rnacentral:rRNA from 1 species
CCUACGGGGUGCAGCAGUGAGGAAUAUUGGUCAAUGGGCGAGAGCCUGACCCAGCCAAGUCGCGUGAGGGAAGACGGUCCUACGGAUUGUAAACCUCUUUUGUCAGGGAGCAGGGAGCGCCACGAGUGGUGCGGCGAGAGUACCUGAAGAAAAAGCAUCGACUAACUCCGUGCCGGCAGCCGCGGUAAUACGGAGGAUGCGAGCGUUGUCCGGAUUGAUUGGGUGUAACGGGUGCGCAGGCGGAAGCGGAAAGUCAGCGGUAAAAUGGCGGGGCUCAACCUCGCCGAGCCGUGGAAACUGCUCUUCUAGAGUGUGCGAGAAGUAUGCGGAAGGCGUGGUGUAGCGGUGAAAUGCAUAGAGAUCACGCAGAACUACGAUUGCGAAGGCAGUAUACCGGCGCCCAACUGACGCUCAUGCACGAAAGCGUGGGUAUCGAACAGGAUUAGAUACCCCUGUAGUC